rnacentral:lncRNA from 1 species
ACGCAAUUGUAAAAACGAAUUGUAUAAAAACCGAAUGAAAAACUGAAGUAGCGACUUGAAUCUUCAAUCUUGACCCAAGCCUUGAAAACUAAAAAGCUAAAAAAUAUUCUAACGCUAAAAACUAAAAUAUGAAUGCUAAGGUUCUGGGGUGUGUCUCGAAUAGGUCAAAGGAAGGCCUAUUUAUAAGCUUCAGAUCUCCUUCGGAUCACCAUGAAAGUUGCCAUGCAAAGUAGAAUUCUAAAGGUAAUAGAAUCGUGUGAAAUAAGGCAACUCUCCAGCUAGAUGCGCGCUCCGGAAAAACUCUCCCACUCGCGCCGAAUUCGCAGCUCUCGCCAGAGGAAUGGAUGUCACCCGGGAAACGUGUCGCGCCAGAGAAAUGACGAUUUCUCUGGUAUCGCCAGAGGAAUGGUAUCGCCAGCGGAAUGAUGAUUUCUCUGCUAUCGCCAGAGGAUUCAUGAUUUCUCUGGCGCUUCGAUUCCGC